rnacentral:lncRNA from 1 species
CCCAGGCUGGAGUGCAGUGUUGCAAUCUCGGCUGCCCAGGCUGGAAGAUGAGGCUGAAAUUUCUAUGUAUUCCAGUGUUACACAUAUCAAUUUUUAUCCAGCUGUGUUGAGUGUUCUUUGCCUUCAGGAGUGGUUUACAGAGAGUAUUGCCAGUUGACAAGAAUAUGUAUUUUCCGAGGUAUUUAAGUUGGAGAUGAGCAAAGAACUCCAGUGUUCCCGAUAAAUAUGCCAAACUGCAGUGCUCUUUGUUGUGAUCAGCAUUUUUAAAGUGCUUGAUGCCUAAAUUAUUUUGUAAUCUGGCCUUUGCCAACUUAACUUCUCAUAGAAUUCUACCAUAUACCCAAGGCAUACAGACAUAACAUGAAAACUCCCUGCCAAAAACAAAACAAAUUCUACUUCAUAGACACUGAGAAAAAGCAGCCAUCUAUGAUCCAGAAAAAUGGGAACUUACCAGACAUUGAAUCUGCCAGCACAUUGACCUUGGAUGUCCCAGUCUCCAGAACUAUGAUUAAUGUUGUUAUGGAAGCUGGAGGCUGAGAAGUCCCAUUAUCUGCCACCAGUACGAGCCAGAAUCCCAGGAAAACUCAUGGUAUAAUUUCAACCUGAAUCCAGAGGCCUGAGAACGAGGAGAGCCACUGAUAUAAAGAAUCCU